AUUGAACGCUGGCGGCAGGCCUAACACAUGCAAGUCGAGCGGAUGAAGGGAGCUUGCUCCUGGAUUCAGCGGCGGACGGGUGAGUAAUGCCUAGGAAUCUGCCUGGUAGUGGGGGAUAACGUCCGGAAACGGGCGCUAAUACCGCAUACGUCCUGAGGGAGAAAGGGGGGGAUCUUCGGACCUCACGCUAUCAGAUGAGCCUAGGUCGGAUUAGCUAGUUGGUGGGGUAAAGGCCUACCAAGGCGACGAUCCGUAACUGGUCUGAGAGGAUGAGCAGUCACACUGGAACUGAGACACGGUCCAGACUCCUACGGGAGGCAGCAGUGGGGAAUAUUGGACAAUGGGCGAAAGCCUGAUCCAGCCAUGCCGCGUGUGUGAAGAAGGUCUUCGGAUUGUAAAGCACUUUAAGUUGGGAGGAAGGGCAGUAAGUUAAUACCUUGCUGUUUUGACGUUACCAACAGAAUAAGCACCGGCUAACUUCGUG
rnacentral:rRNA from 1 species